rnacentral:rRNA from 1 species
CGGGACGGUGAGUAAUGUCUGGGAAACUGCCUGAUGGAGGGGGAUAACUACUGGAAACGGUAGCUAAUACCGCAUAACGUCGCAAGACCAAAGAGGGGGACCUUCGGGCCUCUUGCCAUCGGAUGUGCCCAGAUGGGAUUAGCUAGUAGGUGGGGUAACGGCUCACCUAGGCGACGAUCCCUAGCUGGUCUGAGAGGAUGACCAGCCACACUGGAACUGAGACACGGUCCAG